AGGCAGGCGGUUUCUUAAGUCUGAUGUGAAAGCCUUCGGCUCAACCGAAGAAGUGCAUCGGAAACUGGGAAACUUGAGUGCAGAAGAGGACAGUGGAACUCCAUGUGUAGCGGUGAAAUGCGUAGAUAUAUGGAAGAACACCAGUGGCGAAGGCGGCUGUCUGGUCUGUAACUGACGCUGAGGCUCGAAAGCAUGGGUAGCAAACA
rnacentral:rRNA from 1 species